UUUCAACUAUACAACACAUUACUCCAUUUCUUCAACAGCUAAAUUGGCUUCCCAUCAAAUUUCGCAUUGAAUUUAAAAUCUUUCUUCUCACAUAUAAAACUCUCCAUAACCUCGCUCCAACUUAUCUCUCAGAUCUCAUUCAGCCCUACGCUCCUUCUCGAAUGCUUCGUUCUUCCUCAAUGGGUCUUCAUACACCCACGGCUCGUUUAACAACUAUGCACUGUUAAAAAUUGCUGUUAAUUUACGGCAGAAUUUCAACAGUAUAAUCCUGUUAUGUUCAAAAGCAGUACAUUACUGUUUUUUUUCGUUUUUGUGAAAUGACGUAGACACAAUAUAACGGCAUUCUACUGUAUUUAUAACUCGAAGGAAAUAAAACAUUACUAUCCAGUAUUUUUGUAAACUGCAGUGAGCACGCCGGGACUUUCAUCCGUCUUGUUAACAGGUCAAUUCCCCUUUGCUUUGCGCGAUUUCAUAGACAAAAUACAUUACAUUUGCUACUGCAACUAAUCUGUAUAGUGGAUAUCGGAAGUGACACUAUCUUUUAUUUGCUCUUUUCAGUGAUAAACGCGCCAAAUGCGACAUCAUCGAGUGCAACUGGAUUUCUGACUCUGUGACUCGGAUUAUAUUAUUCCCAAUUACAGGGUUCAGGUGAAACACCAGGAAGAAGAAUCCAGCACUGGAUGAUCGGCCUUGAGGAGCACAUCAUUUGUGAGGGCAUCCAGCCAGCUUUUCUGUCUGGGCUUGCAGCUGAUUUUUCUACUUACAACAAUUUCAAUCUUCAAUACCAAGCUGAAGACGCAUGCAUGUUGCAAAUUAUUCAACGGUGGUUCAUCGAGAUAAAUCCGGAAAAGGGACCAGGGCUGGAGGAGUCAUAUCAAAGUGGACGGGGAAGGUCACCCAGAAAAAGAAAACCGUGAACCCUCGUGUCUGCAGUCUACUUAAAAAAAUUUAUGGAUUUUGAGUUGGACUUUAUACAAGUAUUACACACCACAGACCACACACUCACAUCACACACACACGUUUGUUUUUGUGAAAAGUGGGGACAUCCCAUAAGCGUAAUGGUUUUUAUACUGUAAAAACUGUAUGUGCUAUUGCCCUACACCUAAACCUACCCUUUACAGCGAACUUUGUGCUAUUUCAGAUUUUCAAUACACUCCAUUCUGUGUGAUUUAUAAGCGUUUUGAAAAGUGGGGACAUGAGGUAAUGUCCUGAAAAGUCACCUGCUCCUUGUAAUACCUGUCAUUACACAAAUUUAUGUCCUCAUUUGUCACAAAAAUGUGCGUGCGCACACACCCACACACACAGUCUCUUGAUCUCUAUUUUUUCAGGUAUUCAUUAAUUUCUAUUCACUCAAAAACAUUUACUCAGGUGUUCUCUAAGUUUUUCACUUAAUCUUUGUGUCCAGAGUUAUUUUUUUGGACAGCCUGCAUGACCUAUUAGAAUUAAUUGUUAAAGAGUUAAAGCAAUUUAUUUAUCAUUUAUACAGCUGAAAUGUACAUUUAUUGUCAUAAAUGUAAUAAGCUUUGGGCUUUAUUUUACAAUUUGUUUUCAUUUUGUACCAAUGUUCUGUAAGUCAGAAUCUGAUUUGGGGAAUAUGUUGAGUUUAUUUCUGUUAUGACCACUUCUUCCCCUUAAAUUUCAAUUAUUGUCUUUAAUGUUUUUUCUAAGAAAGUUUUUUUUUUUUUUUUAAUAAAGCAAAACAAGUUUUGAAUCAACACUUUAAAGCUGCUUUACUUGUGUUACAUUUCAAGUCACUAUUUCAAAGGGUACAAAUAUAUAUUAAAAACCAAGAAGAAAAUGUUGUCCUUUUUACUAGCAGGCCAUUAUUCAAUAGCGUACACAAUGGCAUAGUAUAUUUGUAUUGUAGUUUACACAUUGUUUGUUUAGUUGUGAAGAAGAGCAAAAAAAGUAUUUGCGAAAACAGUAGUCAACUGUAAAUUUCACCAACAGUAAGACACAGUUAAUUUUACAGUUCCUUGCUGGCAACCAAGCUGCCAGUUAUUUACUGUUUUUUAAUAAACAGUAACCAACUGUAAUUUUACCCAACAGUAAGAUACUGUUAAUUUUACAGUUCCUUGCUGGCAACCAAGCUGCCAGUUAUUUACUGUUUUUUAACAGGACAAUUUUUA